rnacentral:rRNA from 1 species
AGAGUUUGAUCAUGGCUCAGGACGAACGCUGGCGGCGUGCUUAACACAUGCAAGUCGAGCGGAAAGGCCCUUCGGGGUACUCGAGCGGCGAACGGGUGAGUAACACGUGAGUAACCUGCCUUGGCUCUGGGAUAGCUCCGGGAAACCGGAAUUAAUACCGGAUAGGACCACUUUAGACAUCUUCGGUGGUGGAAAGAUUU